AGAGACGGAUGAAAGCUCCAGGUGUUGUCUGGAGUCAUUCGCAGAUCUGUGAAACUGUGGCCAGCCUGUCCCUGGUGUGCUGCGGCUCGGGACCCUAACACUCACUGGGCUGUAUAGUGACGCCUCACAUGAGGUCAGACGGAGGACAGCUCACCCACUUCCCAUUUUGCUUCCAGGAGACCACAGUAAGCUUCCCAGAAUGCACCUCGCCCGGCCAUCCGACCCUGAGGUCGGCAGCUGUCAGUCACGGCCUCGGCUGGCUCUGCAGCUUCUGGACUCGGACCGGAGGAUGUUGAAUCGCCACCCUGUACGUGAGAGGAAAAGCCCCAGGCUGUGACAGCCAGACGAAGAAGUUCAGAGCAGUUCCUUGUUUUAGCAGCCUGUCCUGUGUCGGUAUCCAUCUGGCAGGUCAGUCUUUAUAACCUCUUUAUCCAGUCGCUUGUUUUGAGAUCUCCCCGACUGUCAGUGUAAAAGGUCGCAUCCUUCCACUUCAUUCACCAACUCAAAUCCUUAUUUCGUCCAAUCAGGUACCAGCUCUU